rnacentral:tRNA from 1 species
GCGUCUGUAGCUCAAUGGAUAGAGCGUAUGUUGCCUAAGCAGAAGGUCAUAGGUUCGACCCCUACCUAAUGCG